CUCGGUUGAUCCUGCGGGACCCGACUGCUAUCAGAGUGGGACUAAGCCAUGCGAGUCAACGUAGCAAUACGUGGCAUACGGCUCAGUAACACGUAGUCAACAUGCCCAGGGGACGAGGAUAACCUCGGGAAACUGAGGAUAAACCUCGAUAGGCCAUGAUUUCUGGAAUGAUUCUUGGCUCAAACCUAUAUGGCCCCUGGAUUGGACUGCGGCCGAUCAGGCUGUUGGUGAGGUAAUGGCCCACCAAACCUAUUACCGGUACGGGCUCUGAGAGGAGGAGCCCGGAGAUGGGCACUGAGACAAGGGCCCAGGCCCUAUGGGGCGCAGCAGGCGCGAAACCUCUGCAAUAGGCGAAAGCUUGACAGGGUUACUCUGAGUGAUUUCCGCUAAGGGAAUCUUUUGGCACCUCUAAAAAUGGUGCAGAAUAAGGGGUGGGCAAGUCUGGUGUCAGCCGCCGCGGUAAUACCAGCACCCCGAGUGGUCGGGACGAUUAUUGGGCCUAAAGCAUCCGUAGCCGGUCCUGCAAGUCUUCCGUUAAAUCCAGCUGCUCAACAGAUGGGCUGCGGGAGAUACUACAGGGCUAGGAGGCGGGAGAGGCAAGCGGUACUUUAUGGGUAGGGGUAAAAUCCGCUGAUCCAUAGAAGACCACCAGUGGCGAAGGCGGCUUGCCAGAACGCGCUCGACGGUGAGGGAUGAAAGCUGGGGGAGCAAACCGGAUUAGAUACCCGGGUAGUCCCAGCUGUAAACGAUGCAGACUCGGUGAUGGGUUGGCCUCGCGCCUGCCCAGUGCCGCAGGGAAGCCGUUAAGUCUGCCGCCUGGGGAGUACGGUCGCAAGACUGAAACUUAAAGGAAUUGGCGGGGGAGCA
rnacentral:rRNA from 1 species